rnacentral:rRNA from 1 species
GAUGAACGCUGGCGGCGUGCCUAAUACAUGCAAGUCGAGCGAACAGAUGAGGAGCUUGCUCCUCUGACGUUAGCGGCGGACGGGUGAGUAACACGUGGAUAACCUACCUAUAAGACUGGGAUAACUUCGGGAAACCGGAGCUAAUACCGGAUAAUAUAUUGAACCGCAUGGUUCAAUAGUGAAAGACGGUUUUGCUGUCACUUAUAGAUAGAUCCGCGCCGCAUUAGCUAGUUGGUAAGGUAACGGCUUACCAAGGCAACGAUGCGUAGCCGACCUGAGAGGGUGAUCGGCCACACUGGAACUGAGACACGGUCCAGACUCCUACGGGAGGCAGCAGUAGGGAAUCUUCCGCAAUGGGCGAAAGCCUGACGGAGCAACGCCGCGUGAGUGAUGAAGGUCUUCGGAUCGUAAAACUCUGUUAUUAGGGAAGAACAAAUGUGUAAGUAACUAUGCACGUCUUGACGGUACCUAAUCAGAAAGCCACGGCUAACUACGU